rnacentral:tRNA from 1 species
GGUUGUGGCUCAGUGGCAGAGCGCUUGUCUCGCACGUAUGAGGCACUGGGUUCAAUCCUCAGCACCA